UUGGAGCUUGUUCUUCUGGAAUCCCUUUGGCCCUAUUCAUAUAGGCAUGGGAGCAUGGAUCCAUUACGAUUGGAAAGCGAAAAUCAAGAAAUUGCCAUAACCUCUUUAUCUGAGAAUUCGAAUCUGCCAUAACCUCCUUCCUUAUCAGGAUCCUCCAUCUAAAAUUCAAAUCUAUUUGAAAUCUCUUGCCAUGUGUCCAUCCAUGAUAGGCAAGCUGUUACCAUACCACAUCAUAUGCCCCCCAUCCGACCCCAAGCCAUUUUCUCCGACCUGUUUCAUGAUCAAAAAUUUUGAAAGUCACUAAAAACAAUUUUGUUGGUAUGCAUACCUUGUUUCAUUUGUAAUGCUCAUACUUGAGGUUGGCUCGGACUUGUUGCCCCCACUAGUUGGUUUCUAGGUUGUCCCCGUUCCUCGACUAGUCAAGAUCAGCUUCAGUUCGACUUGCAUCUGGCACUAGAAGCAUUCCUUGGGGUCCCCAUUUGGGUUAUCCCCCUCUCCUCAGUUGGUCGAGGCCUUCAGCUUGGCUCAUUUUGGUACGAGAAGUAAUACUUUGAGGAUUCUCUUAUGGGGUUAACCCUCUCUUCUCAAUGGACCAAGAUUUUUAGCUUGGCUCAUUUUGAUACGAGAAACGAUACUCCAAGAGUCUUCUUAUAAGGUUAACCCUUGCUUUUUGGUCCAUCGAGAUUUUUAACUCAGCUCGUUUUGGUAUGAGGAGAGGGUCUUCUUAUGAGGUUAUUCCUCACUUCUCGAUUGGUCGAGGUUUUUAGGUUGGCCAUUUUGGUAUAAGAGCGAUACUCCAAGGAUCCUCUUGAUCCACUGAGGUCUUUAGCCCAACUCAUUUUGGUAUGAGCAGUACUCCAAGAGUCCCCUUAUGGGGUUAUCCCUCACUUCUCAAUUGACAAAGAUUGGCUUUAGGCUGGGUCAUCUUGAAUUUUCUGCAACUUAGUGAGGUUCAAGGUGGAUCUUUUUGCGGCUCUACACCAAGUGAAGACCUAUAGCAUUUGGAAAAAAUGGAACAAAAAAUCACAAGAAAAAAUGGAGUGCCAAAACCUAGCCUUUUCUCUAGCGCCAAUCUAUUGUUGCUGGUGCCUAAUCUAGCAUUGGAGUAGGCAGAUAUGGAGUAACUGAAUGACAGCAUCGAACUGGAUGGAUGUGGAUGGCUGAACCUAUAAAUCAAGUCCUUUAUCAGAGUUGCUUUUGCAGGGACCCUCCGACACUCAAGUCAGUCAUCAGAAAACAGUAGAAAGAAGGGAGAGAAUGGAGUUUGAGAGCCUCUUAAUAUAAAAGCUUUGAGUUAUGAGAGUUUCUCCAUUUUAAAGCUUGUUCUCCUAGGGUCCCUUUGACCCCAUUUAUACAGGCAACGAGAGCAUGGAUUCAUUAUGAUUUGGAGGUAGAAAUCAAGGGACUGCCAUAACCUCCUUCCUUAGCUCCUUAACUAGGAAAUUGAAUCUGCCAUAACCUCCUUCCUUAUCUAAAUCCUCUAUUUAAAAUUCAAAUCUAUUUGAAAUCGCUUGCCACAUGUCCAUCCACGAUACUGUUACCAUACCACAUCAUGACUGUUUCAACUUUUGUGUACAUUGUGAGUCCUAUGAACUACUUCAGCCAAAUGGAUGUAGAUGGCCGAGAACAAAUCUCACUAAGUCCACAAUUUUGUUGGUUGCCCAGCUUAUGAGUAUACCUAAGAACCCUUCUGAUUUUUUUGAUUGAAUGAGCAACUUUCCCUAAAACUUUGAACUGAAGGAGCAAAUAGAAGUCUUGAAGGUAACAUUGUAAGGAUGCCUUUGUUUUGCAAACAUAUCAUGUGAAAGAG
rnacentral:lncRNA from 1 species